rnacentral:rRNA from 1 species
UACAGAGGGUGCGAGCGUUAAUCGGAAUUACUGGGCGUAAAGCGUGCGUAGACGGUUAUUUAAGUCGGGUGUGAAAGCCCCGGGCUUAACCUGGGAAUGGCAUUGGUGACUGUACGGCUAGAGUGUGUCAGAGGGGGGUAGAAUUCCACGUGUAGCAGUGAAAUGCGUAGAGAUGUGGAGGAAUACCGAUGGCGAAGGCAGCCCCCUGGGAUGACACUGACGCUCAUGCACGAAAGCGUGGGGAGCAAACAGG